rnacentral:tRNA from 1 species
GCGGCCCUAGUAAAUUAAUUACAUAGCCCUGUCAGUGCUAAAUUACAGACUAAUCCCUGUGGACCACA